CUGCGGUCCACGGCGCCGGGCCGCAUGGAGGGGCUGAGCAGGCUGCCCCCGCCGCACCUGCCAAGAAGGCGCCCUCUGAGUGGCUGCCGCGACGAGGGGCCGAAGGGCAUCAGCGGCUCGGGCUCCCCGCGGGGCGGGAGCAGCGGGGCCAGCAGGCUGACUGGCUUGCCGGCCGGCCAAUCGGGGCGGCCCGCCAGCCGGGUGCCCUUCGGUGAUUGGUCGGCGGCCGAGGCGACGGGACGGACGGCGUCCCCCGGCGUCAGCUGCAUGAGGGGAGGGGGCUUCGGCAGGGAGAACGGCAGCGGCUGCGGGGAGGCCGUGGCCGCCGCCGCCGCCGAGUCCCCUCCGGACAUCCUGGCCGCCGGGCCCGCCGCCGGGAGCCCUUUCCCGCCUGCCCUGGCGGCCGCCGGCCGGGGACGGCGAGGAGCGGGCGGAUAGAGAGAGAAAGGGAGGCCCCGCGGCGGAGCCGAGUAGAGAAAGCGGCGGCCGGCCGGCGGCGGAGAGCAACGGCGGGAGCGAGCGCGGGGCCGGGCCGCGGAGCUGGCGCGGGGGGAAGCUGCGGCGGGGGCCGAGCGCAGGGAGCGCUGGGAAAGCGCUCACGUGGGCUGCGGGCGGGCGGCACCAAGAGCGCCGCGCAAAUAGGGGUGUGGCGCGGCGCACCUUCCGCCUCUCCCGCCUCGACGGAACGGGAGGACGCGGCCGCCUCCCCUCCGCCUUGCGGCAGGUGGUGCGUGCCGGCACUCAGGCCCGGCCUCGCCACGGCCCCCCCGCGCGGCGCCGGCUUGGUAUGCGCCGGGCUGCGGCAGCGCGGCAAGGCGGGCGCGGCCCCCGGCAUCGCCGCGCCGUGGUAGGCGCCUCCGGGGGCGGGCUGUGGCCCGGCUCGGGGAGCGGAGCCUGCCGGUACUCGUGCGGCCCUGCGGGGCUGUCCGUCUCCGGGUCGCUCCUUUGCAGCUCUUCCCGCUUCGGCUUUUCCUUCGUGUUCGCGCAGCGCUCUGUUGGCGGGGCUGACGGACAAAGGGCGGUGUGGGAGCGGGGUUGUCGGGCUGAGCCUGGCGGGGCAGCUGCCUGAUGUGCGCCCGUCUGACUCCUGUGCCGGGGAGAGCUGUGGAGAAAGGCGAGGCUUUGUGCUUUGGAGCCCCGUCCUGCGGCCUCGCUGGGCUGUGAGGGGCCCGUCCUGUGCUGGGGAGGGCGUGGGAGAGCACAGGGAGACCAGCGGCAGGGAGAGCUGCAGGUUGGCAUAACGGCCCUGCGGGUUUAACUGAAACGAGGGGUGAAACGCCACUCUUAGUUCUUCAGUGAAGUGCUACAGCACAUAACGUUGGAUUUCUUUCAUAUAGCUUGUUAUAAGAACAUACGUUGUAUAAUCAAUGAGUAUAUAGACGUAAAAUCAGUGACAAUACAGAGAAGAAUACUGGGCUUACCAAAAAAAAGACUCCACGAGGAGCCAUCUCCAGGGAGAGACCCCUCCCCAGCGGCAGUCAGCCCUGGAAUGGGCUCUAGCAGAGGUGCAGCCUGGCUGCAGCCCUUCCACUCACACAGCUCAACUGCCUUCACCUGUGCUCCCACGGCUGACUCAGCGCUCGCCUCAGGUGGUCAAUCAGAGGUUCAGGCCGUGAUUCAACAGGGAGCAGCACGCCAGCACUGUUUCCUAGAACCUGUCGCUUACUGUGCAGGCAGCACAGUGCUUGGGAAAAGCUUUACCUGGUGUUCAUCAUGAGUAGGAGUCGUCCCCACCUGUGAAGCCUGGGUUCCUGAUGGAGAAGUUGCUGAUCCUCCUCACCUGUGUCAUCUGAGUGGUUUAGAGGAAUCAUGCCAUCGGACACAGAUCAGUAAUGCUUGUUGCUUGAUCCAACUGCUGUAUAGCUGAUGAAUUCAUGGAUUUAAGACAAAUAAUCCGUAUUUCAUUACUAGCAAGUGCUAGAAAUAAAAAUGUACUCUGCACUAUUGCUUGGAAAAACAAAUCCUGAAGUCGUAAGAGAGGAUUAAAGUUGGAAAAAAAUCUCUCAAGAGAAAAACGAAGGGAGUAAUGACAUCUGCUUAGCAGCAUCCAGCCCCUCAGCCUGCAGCACGGACCUCUGGAGCCCUUACACACGGAAUAAAAGGGGAUGCAGUGAGUGAGGAGCAGCAGAACUGCAAGCAGAGCAGCGCUACUGGUGUAAGAUGGCAUUAGGAAGAGUGGAGUUUUGUUAAUGGGUCAUGGAAACUGCUGCUCUGCAUGCCGUAAAACAGCAAUCCGAAGGGUUUGCUCUGAAAGCAUCUCUUUGUGCCCUGGGCCAGUGACCCCACUGCUGUGCCAGUAAAUCAUGGCAAGCUGGAGGAAUCUCCCUGAUUUCUGAGCUCCUAAUCCCGCAAAGCCUGUAAAUGAUGGCUGGCUUAGCUUUGUUUCUGAUAAAACGAGGCUUAUGAGAUGAUGACAUUUGCUGCCUGUUUCUCCUCCGCUCCGUUCCGUGUCACCACCCAAGAGAUCUCUGGAGCCCAUCAGUGCAAGGCUGUGUGCCUAGUGCUACAACACUACCGCGUGCUGGAGAGCAGGGAGGAGCCUGGGUGAAUGUAUGGGAAUGAAUUUGGCUGUGUUAGCACUCCGAUCCCCUUCUGCAUGAUGUGCUUCCCCUGUUCUGCAGUGUCUGAUGCAGGUAUUGGGUCAGCCCAGUGAUGUUUGCUUCCUGGAGAGCACGCAUGGAACCUGCUGAUGGAGUUUGUUAACAGCCCCGCUGUUCCUUAAGCCAAGCUGGGUUUUUGCUUUGAUAAAACCUCUGGGCAUGGUGUGUGGCUGUACAGAGUGUGAGAACUCAGGGAGGUUCUUUACUCUGAGAGUGGCGAGGUGCUGAACAGCUGCCCAGAGAGGCUGUGGAUGCCCCGUCCAUCCCUGGAGGUGUUCAAGGCCAGGUUGGAUGGGCCCUGGGCAGCCUGGGC
rnacentral:lncRNA from 1 species